rnacentral:sRNA from 16 species
CUUGGAUACGGAGACAUGGUGCCAUCAACGAUAAUGGGCAAAAUAGUGGGAGGAAUAUGCUCACUUUCCGGAGUGCUCGUAAUCGCUCUCCCCGUGCCCGUUAUUGUGAGCAAU